GUGUCAGCCGCCGCGGUAAUACAGAGGUCUCAACCGUUGUUCGGAUUCAUUGGGCGUAAAGGGUGCGUAGGCGGUCGCGCAAGUCGGAUGUGAAAUCUCAGGGCUCAACCCUGAAACUGCAUUCGAUACUGCGUGGCUAGAGUGCUGGAGGGGAGACUGGAAUUUACGGUGUAGCAGUGAAAUGCGUAGAUAUCGUAAGGAAGACCAGUGGCGAAGGCGAGUCUCUGGACAGCAACUGACGCUGAGGCACGAAGGCCAGGGGAGCAAACGGGAUUAGAUACCCGCGUAGUCC
rnacentral:rRNA from 1 species